rnacentral:rRNA from 1 species
AGUGAACGCUGGCGGUAGGCCUAACACAUGCAAGUCGAACGGCAGCACAGUAAGAGCUUGCUCUUACGGGUGGCGAGUGGCGGACGGGUGAGGAAUACAUCGGAAUCUACUUUUUCGUGGGGGAUAACGUAGGGAAACUUACGCUAAUACAGCAUACGACCUACGGGUGAAAGCAGGGGAUCUUCGGACCUUGCGCGAUUGAAUGAGCCGAUGUCGGAUUAGCUAGUUGGCGGGGUAAAGGCCCACCAAGGCGACGAUCCGUAGCUGGUCUGAGAGGGUGAUCAGCCACACUGGAACUGAGACACGGUCCAGACUCCUACGGGAGGCAGCAGUGGGGAAUAUUGGACAAUGGGCGCAAGCCUGAUCCAGCCAUACCGCGUGGGUGAAGAAGGCCUUCGGGUUGUAAAGCCCUUUUGUUGGGAAAGAAAAGCAGCAGGUUAAUACCCCGCUGUUCUGACGGUACCCAAAGAAUAAGCACCGGCUAACUUCGUG